CAAACAUAUAGAAAUAUAAAAAACCAGUGAUCCAAAAUUCUACUGAAUACUGGUUUUUACAAACAUGACUCACAUGAAUAGACAUGGGGAGAAAAUAAUAGCAAAAUGUGAAAUCGAUUAUGGUUCUAUGGAUACUUAUUACUUUAUACAACAACAAAAACCAAGUCUUAUUCCGCUGGGUAAGGUUGGCUAUAUGGAUCAAACGACGUCAUAAUAUUUUAUUAUAGAUCAUAUCUUUAUCCAAAUCAUUGACAUCUAAGUCUUUCUUGAUAAUUUCUCUUCAAGGCUUUCUUAGUCUUCCUCUACCUGUAGCAUUUGAGCUCAACCCCCAUUUGAUUCACUCUCUUCACUGUAGAAUCUACAAGUCUCUUCCACAGUAAUAUGUUCAAACAUCCGACGUAACAUUCUAAUCUCUGUAACUUUGUAAAAGAAUGAUAACAAGAUCAUAUAUGUAUAUAUUUAAGCUGAAAAUUUUAUCACCUUAGGAUUACAAAGAGAACGGCGCAAGUUUGAGAAACAGCCAUCACAAACAAUGGUAAGAGGUGCACAUGCGGAUAAUUCCUGAGCAUCUUUUGUUUUGUACUGUACCCCUUUAAUUGUACCGUUCUCUUCAAGCAGUGAAGUGACUGUUCCUUGCUCCAAUUGCACACUACAUAACAAUAAUAAUAAUAAUAAUAACCACAACAAUAAUAACAAGUAACAACUGAAGAUAGAAAGUAAAGAGUCUUUUAAUUUAAAGUAAAAGAAAACAUUUACUGUGAUAAAGUUGUGCGAUUUUAGAGAAAAAUAGGAGACAAAAUAAUAAAUUUGUGCGAUUUUAGAGAAAAAUAGAAGACAAAAUAAUAAGAGUUUGAAUAUUAUUGAUAAUAGCUUUAUGCUAACUUUAUUACAAAAGACUCGAUACUAAUCUCUAUUUAUAGAGAAAUAUAAAAUCAAUCUUAAAUCAGAAACAAAUCAUAAUAAUAAUGAGAGAUAUUCUAAGAUAUCUCUAUGAUUAUAAAUUGACAUAGAAAAUAACUCAAGAUACUCUAAUAUAAUAUAAUAGAUAUUAUAAGAUAUUUUCUAAUAUUCUAACAUUCUGUAUUAAAAACAAAAACAAUAUCUAAUACUUGUAUUGUAUUUUAAAGUAUUUAGUAUAGUUUAUCUUAACCAAUGGCCUUAGCCUUUUAGGUAUCUAUUAACAAGAUCCUUAAAAUAUCAAUCCAAGUCAGCUUAAAUGACACCCAUCAGUAAAAUGAAAUUGAAAAAAAAGUCAGAUGAAACGAUCUAAGUCUUUCUUGAUAAUUUCUCUUCAAGGCUUUCUUAGUCUUCCUCUACCUGUAGCAUUUGAGCUCAACCCCCAUUUGAUUCACUCUCUUCACUGUAGAAUCUACAAGUCUCUUCCACAGUAAUAUGUUCAAACAUCCGACGUAACAUUCUAAUCUCUGUAACUUUGUAAAAGAAUGAUAACAAGAUCAUAUAUGUAUAUAUUUAAGCUGAAAAUUUUAUCACCUUAGGAUUACAAAGAGAACGGCGCAAGUUUGAGAAACAGCCAUCACAAACAAUGGUAAGAGGUGCACAUGCGGAUAAUUCCUGAGCAUCUUUUGUUUUGUACUGUACCCCUUUAAUUGUACCGUUCUCUUCAAGCAGUGAAGUGACUGUUCCUUGCUCCAAUUGCACACUACAUAACAAUAAUAAUAAUAAUAAUAACCACAACAAUAAUAACAAGUAACAACUGAAGAUAGAAAGUAAAGAGUCUUUUAAUUUAAAGUAAAAGAAAACAUUUACUGUGAUAAAGUUGUGCGAUUUUAGAGAAAAAUAGGAGACAAAAUAAUAAAUUUGUGCGAUUUUAGAGAAAAAUAGAAGACAAAAUAAUAAGAGUUUGAAUAUUAUUGAU
rnacentral:lncRNA from 1 species